GAGCCAGUAGGGCGAACGUUUUGUUGCAGCUUUGUGUUCUUUUCAAUAAUUAGGCCGAUUAUCGCAGUAAUAUGAAUAAAUGGGUUGCUUUUAAAUGGAUAAAAACGAAUUAAAAGGCGUGCGUUUGGAGGGAUUGAGUGAUAAUUGUCGGUGUUAUAUAGGUUCAUAUCAGUGAGAUAUUUAUCUAGGAUGAACAUCCAGGAAGUCCUUCCAAACGCACUAUCCGUACGUUCGUCAUGUCAUCUUACACUUGACCACAUGUAUCAACAUAUUUAUCAACAUAAUCAAUAAGUAAUUUAAGUAUCGUGGUUUUUAAAUAUAUAAUGUAUAAAGACAAGCUCGAAAUCUAGGGAGAUCAUGUACCUGAGCCCAAAACCAAACUCGCUCCGCCACCAACAAAGGCCAAAAUCCUACCAAUUGUCAUCCGAGAGAAGCAGAGGUACGAGGAGGUAUUUGCUGCCCUCAAAGCCAUAGGGGUAAACCAAGGCCGCGUCGUCAAAACACGUGAUGGCGUUAAAAUUCAUCCGCAGUCGGUCGAGGACUCGGAGCUGAGAGGCAUCAAAAUCAGGGUGGAAGCCUAGAGAAAUAAAUCCAGGAUAUAGAUCCAGUGCCACAGGUGCCAACUCCACAGGCACGCCCAGGCCGGGUGUCAGCAGCCUUCAAAUGCGUGAAGUGUGGCCAACUUCACGCAACCGCUGAAUGCACAAAACCAAGGGACCAGCCAGCCACAUGCGCAAAUUGCGGAGGACCGCACACAGCGAAUUACCUGGGAUGCCCCAGAAACACAAAACAGAUCCUGAAGGCCGAAGCUGCCAGACGGGAUCGCCCAUUCACCUGGAGCACCCAGGACAACAGCCGCCUCGCCGCACCCUCCACACCCCAGCAUCCAGCAGCAGCUGCCGCCCCACCUCUGCCCGGUACAGACCCGAAUGCUAUGCUUCCAAGCAUUCUUUGCUUCAAUGCAGCAGCAAUUCCAAAUGCUGCUGCAGAGCAUUAAACCAGUAGAGGCCAACUAACUUUCGCACAUUUUCCUCACAAAGGCCACCUAUUUUUGUUUUAUGUUAAUACCUUAAUUUUUAAGAAAAUAUCCAUUUAGUUAAGUAGGCAUGAAUCUUAGGAUUAACCUGUAUAUAUAUUUAAUAUAAAUAAAUGUCAGUUUCAAAGUAAAA